AACUGUCAUCCGCAUUGCUGGUGUUGAUUGGAGGGGGUCCUGGAUUGUGUUUAGAGGGGCCCUUCUUGCAUGUGUGCUGAGGAGCCCAUGAUUUCAGAUUCAACCUGUCUUUUUCAUUAUUCAAAUUGCAAGAAAUUAUUCAUAGUUAAAUUCAGAUCCCAUUAUUUUUAGAACUUUGUCUGGAAAACUCUGUAUGCAAAUGAUUGUUUACGCCAGCAGAUGGCACACCAUGUUUUAUAGUAGUUAUAAAGUAAGAGGAAUCCCCCAGCGCUGGGACACAGAGGUUUUUUUUUACUCCUGAUAGUGGAUUUUACUCAGACUGUAAUUGGCUGGAUUACCUGCCAGUAACAGAGAGAAAAAAAAGAAAACUAUAAAAGUGCCAGAAGGUCAAAAUAUGAUUAAUUUUGUUUCUCACUGUAGAUGUCUUUAUGUCACGAAAAUAAUGAUUGUGUGUUGAUUGCCCUCUAGUGGAGAAGUAACUUUUUAAAAUCUAGAUGUUCUUUUUGUUGAAAAGUGAAGGGACCUUUUUAUCCCCUAAUUUAAGUACCUUUGCUGCCCUGUAGGAGCAAAACACGAUUCACAUAUCUUGUCUUUUCCAUAUUAUCUUCUUUCCUGAAACAUCAGAACAUGUCUAGUUCACCUCCUGUAAUAUGUUGAUCAAACAUUGGAAUUUGCACAAACAUGGCAAAAUCACAUAUACACGUUUUUAGAUCCAGGUUUGGUGAAAUAUCAAAGUUACAUUUAUCCACGGUUUUUAAAUUUACUUUAUUUUAUAUAAUGGAAAAAUGGGGCUCAUUCUGACUGCUGUCUGGAAUAAAUGAGUUUUAGUAGUUUCUCUCAACUUUGGAGGAUUAUCUCACUGUUGCAAUGCUUUCAUGCUUUUCACACAUUAAGAACAGAAUCCAAGACAAACCAUAUAUAUUUCCAAAUAUAAUAAUUUAAGGCAAUUUUGAUAUAUUCUAAUAUUCCCCUUUUCUAAUAAAGACAGUUUAUUUGAAAAAUGUCUUUAUAUUUUUCAGCUUUUUUUCCCAUAGAGAGUGAGAGGAGGAAUCAAAACACAAAACUGUGACAGUUUUCUUGUUUCAACUGAAUUCCUGAUAAUUAUACUGCUGCGAAAACUGAUAUUUUGUAAAUGAAUACAUGACAAGAGUUGCUACACCUCGUAUUUUCUGCAAGGGGAAAUAAAAGAGGAACUAGGUGAAACGUUCUGUCAUUUCUAAUGUUAUUUUGUUUGAAAAUGUUGCAUAUACACUCCCACAUUUAAAAAAAUCUGAAGGAAGGAUUUAAAAAAAAAAAAAGUUCUCCAGUUGGGACCGAACACACCAAUGCUACCCACAUCUGCUUUUAUUCCUGUCGUUAGAAAUCUUCUAUUAUACAGUCCUGCUCAAUGAUAAUUCUUGUUUUUUUCCCCUUUGGUCAAGGAAAUGCUGCACUUCUCAGCUCAAUGCCCUGAGGAAACAAAACAGCUUUAAACAAAGUCGGCAACCCAAGAAAAACCCUCUGCUAGAUCCCCUGUAGUGAGCAUUUAAGGAACUUCAGGAGGCCUUUGUAUGGUGUAAUUGUUGACUCAAAGGGUCAGCACUGUGCAUAGUCAUUAGAAGGACAAAAGAACAAAAGUAGUCACAUUGGAUUGCAGCUCUUACAGCUGCACACCUUCAGCUCUCUUCUGUCAAGAUGCCAGACUCCUACGAGGCUGUGCCAGCACCAUGCCAGGCCAUCAAGGAGGACUUUGACAAGUGUGUUAAGGAGAAGGGGGGCGAGGACUGCAAAGAUCUGAUAGAUGCUUUCCAGACCUGUGUGAAAACUCUGUCGGAAGGAUCAUGAUGGAUCAAGAAAAAUUUGCAGCUUCACCUCAAAGUCUAUCACUUUCCUGCUUCUUUCCUUACACACCGCACUGGACUGGACCAAUUGAUAGCAGAAGAGGGGUGAUGGUGAUGCACUUCCAAAGCCAAUAUUUCCGUGAACAUGAGUUAUAUUGUCAGCGUACCCAUUCCAUUGUAAAAAAAAAUGAAUGACACUAAUACACUGUCAUUUUGUAUGUAAAAAGCACAAAUAAAAAGUCUGGAUAUGGUUGUUUUUUCCCUGCUAAUCACAUGUUAUGUAGCUAUUCUUUUCUGCAACUGUUUAAGCCUUUUAUCAUAGGUUUCUAUGUAAAGUAUCCACUCUUAAUAGAAUUAAGAAGAGCUUGUUAAUCUCUGCUUAAUCCUCCCAUUAGAACCUGCGCCGAGCAGUCUAAUGUUAGUUUUUGAGUCUGAGCUCCAUACGAGAACAUAAGGAUUAUGGCAUUGCACAAAGAUUAGACCUGGAAAAGUUUUAGAAAAAUAUUUUUUUCAUUAUAAAAAAUCUUCUAAAGAUAACAGCAAAUUUAUAUUUGUUUUUUCUUCUCCAGCGUUGCCUCUUUAAAAAAAAUAAAGUAAAAAAAGAUGAUUUUCACAUGCAUCUUUAAAGUUUGUACCUAUUUUAGUGUAGCAAAUCUUUAUUUAGCAUGUCCUGCACAGUAUGUCCCUCACAAUCUUUAAGAAGGCCCAUUGUAUUUCUGUGUUUUUCUUCUUCUUCUUUUUAAUUUCAAAAGUGUAAAAGCCAAACAGAAAGUAGUAGAGUGAAUAUCUCUUUCUGCUCUAUUUCUGCACUGUGGCUGGAGACAAAUCCCUCUGGUUGCGUGAAAAUCCACUAGAUAGGCACAGAUGAAGAUGAGCUUCUGGGAAUUAUCCACCCACACAUAACAUUUCAAAUGGAGUUUAAAAAAAAGAUUUUUCAGUGCAGAUGCUUUAUUUAAAUAUACCACUUUCCCUUAUUGUAAAACUGUCAUCUCUGUGUGAACCUUUUCAAUGUACAGCUUUUUUAAACAUGAUUUAUGUUGUU